rnacentral:rRNA from 1 species
UACGUAGGGGGGCAAGCGUUGUCCGGAUUUAUUGGGCGUAAAGAGCUCGUAGGCGGCUUGUCACGUCGGGUGUGAAAGCCCGGGGCUUAACCCCGGGUCUGCAUUCGAUACGGGCAGGCUAGAGUGUGGUAGGGGAGAUCGGAAUUCCUGGUGUAGCGGUGAAAUGCGCAGAUAUCAGGAGGAACACCAAUGGCGAAGGCAGCUCGCUGGGACGGUACUGACGCUGAGGCGCGAAAGCGUGGGGAGCAAACAGG